rnacentral:rRNA from 1 species
AGAGCGAACGCUGGCGGCAGGCCUAACACAUGCAAGUCGAACGAACUCUUCGGAGUUAGUGGCGGACGGGUGAGUAACACGUGGGAACGUGCCUUUUGGUUCGGAAUAACUCAGGGAAACUUGUGCUAAUACCGAAUGUGCCCUUCGGGGGAAAGAUUUAUCGCCAUUAGAGCGGCCCGCGUCUGAUUAGCUAGUUGGUGAGGUAAAGGCUCACCAAGGCGACGAUCAGUAGCUGGUCUGAGAGGAUGAUCAGCCACAUUGGGACUGAGACACGGCCCAAACUCCUACGGGAGGCAGCAGUGGGGAAUCUUGCGCAAUGGGCGAAAGCCUGACGCAGCCAUGCCGCGUGAAUGAUGAAGGUCUUAGGAUUGUAAAAUUCUUUCACCGGGGACGAUAAUGACGGUACCCGGAGAAGAAGCCCCGGCUAACUUCGUGCCAGCAGCCGCGGUAAUACGAAGGGGGCUAGCGUUGCUCGGAAUUACUGGGCGUAAAGGGAGCGUAGGCGGACAUUUAAGUCAGGGGUGAAAUCCCGGGGCUCAACCUCGGAAUUGCCUUUGAUACUGGGUGUCUUGAGUAUGAGAGAGGUGUGUGGAACUCCGAGUGUAGAGGUGAAAUUCGUAGAUAUUCGGAAGAACACCAGUGGCGAAGGCGACACACUGGCUCAUUACUGACGCUGAGGCUCGAAAGCGUGGGGAGCAAACAGGAUUAGAUACCCUGGUAGUCCACGCCG